rnacentral:pre_miRNA from 14 species
UUAGAGUGCAUUGUAGUUGCAUUGCAUGUUUAGUUAGAAUGCAGUGUUCCUUCAGUGCAUCCUAA